rnacentral:rRNA from 1 species
AUCCACCUUUCGGGGUGGUGAAAGUGGCGCACGGGUGAGUAACGCGUGGGAACCUGCCUAGAAGUUCGGAAUAACCAUUGGAAACGAUGGCUAAUACCGGAUACGCCCUUCGGGGGAAAGAUUUAUUGCUUCUAGAUGGGCCCGCGUCCGAUUAGAUAGUUGGUGGGGUAAUGGCCUACCAAGUCGACGAUCGGUAGCUGGUCUGAGAGGACGAUCAGCCACACUGGGACUGAGACACGGCCCAGACUCC